rnacentral:rRNA from 1 species
UACGUAGGGGGCAAGCGUUGUCCGGAAUCAUUGGGCGUAAAGCGCGUGUAGGCGGUUCGGUAAGUCCGCUGUGAAAGUCGGGGGCUCAACCCUCGAAUGCCGGUGGAUACUGUCGGGCUAGAGUGCGGAAGAGGCGAGUGGAAUUCCUGGUGUAGCGGUGAAAUGCGCAGAUAUCAGGAGGAACACCGAUUGCGAAGGCAGCUCGCUGGGACGUAACUGACGCUGAGACGCGAAAGCGUGGGGAGCAAACGGG